rnacentral:rRNA from 1 species
GACGAACGCUGGCGGCGUGCUUAACACAUGCAAGUCGAACGGAAAGGCCCUGCUUUUGUGGGGUGCUCGAGUGGCGAACGGGUGAGUAACACGUGAGUAACCUGCCCUCGACUUUGGGAUAACUUCAGGAAACUGGGGCUAAUACCGGAUAGGAGCUCCUGCUGCAUGGUGGGGGUUGGAAAGUUUCGGCGGUUGGGGAUGGACUCGCGGCUUAUCAGCUUGUUGGUGGGGUAGUGGCUUACCAAGGCUUUGACGGGUAGCCGGCCUGAGAGGGUGACCGGCCACAUUGGGACUGAGAUACGGCCCAGACUCCUACGGGAGGCAGCAGUGGGGAAUAUUGCACAAUGGGCGGAAGCCUGAUGCAGCAACGCCGCGUGCGGGAUGACGGCCUUCGGGUUGUAAACCGCUUUCGCCUGUGCCGAAGCGUGAGUGACGGUAAUGGGUAAAGAAGCACCGGCUAACUACGUG